AGUAAAUGAACAGGGCCGUUUGACAGAGUGAAACCCAUAUCAGCCCUAUUGAGCAAUGUCUUGAACGUUCUCGGCCUCAUCGGACUCAACUGCCUUUUCUGCAGCGAUAACUCACGAGCCCCAUUCAACCCGCUGAGUGGCGGGUAUAGGGUGUCACACCCCUCGGCGCCCCGAGGAUGAGGGGUGAGCGUCCGGGCAGCCGCCAAGCUCCUGAGGCUGGCCCAGUGACACCGUAUUAUCCAAGCUUCCCACUGUCCUCCCAGUUAACAUAAAUCCAAAGAUGUGCCAAAGAUGAAUCUAUGAUACUUCUUUUGAUGACGAUCAACAGUUGACUAUAUUAAACUUUAGAGCUGCAAA